AUGCCGGAAGGGGUAAACUCUACUUCCAUUGUUCUUAUUCCCAAAAUUCCUAAUCCAUCUAAUUUAUCUCAGUACAGGCCUAUAAGUCUAUGCAAUGUCAUUUAUAAGAUCAUUUCCAAAUGCUUGGUGAACCGCUUGAGACCAUUACUUGAUGAUAUAGUCUCUCCAGAGCAGAGUGCCUUUAUUCCAGGGCGUAUGAUCACAGAUAAUGCGCUAGUGGCCUUCGAGUGUAUUCAUCAUAUUAAGCAAGAGAAGGAUCCAACAAAGAGUUUCUGUGCUUAUAAGCUUGACCUUUUGAAGGCAUAUGAUAGGGUGGUUUGGAAGUUCCUAAAGCAGGUGAUGCAAAAGCUGGGUUUCGCUCAACGAUGGGUAGACUGGAUAAUGUCUUGUGUCACAUCGGUGAGGUAUUCUGUCAAACUCAAUGGGACCCUCUUGGAUUCAUUUGCACCAACGCGUGGUCUUCGGCAGGGCGAUCCUCUAUCACCGUUCUUAUUCCUUUUUGUGGCGGACGGACUCUCGGCUAUUAUGAAGCAUUAUGUAUCUUCGGGUGAGUUAUCUCCGAUUAAGGUAUGCAGACGAGCCCCGGGCAUAUCACACCUUUUGUUUGCGGAUAAUACUAUGUUGUUUUUUGAGGCAAACCGAGCACAGGCUGAAAAAGUCAGAUUGGCCCUGGAUCAAUAUGCAAGUGCAACUGGACAAUCUCUAAAUUUU
rnacentral:rRNA from 1 species